AUUCAUCUAAUAAUAAUCUCUCACACACCCUACACAUUCACCUAAUAAUAAUCUCUCUCACACACACCCUACACAUUCAUCUAAUUAUAACACACACACACACACAUGAGCCCUUCCACACACACGCACCCUAGACAUUCAUCUAUACAUAGAGAUUCUCUAGUCUACUAUAUUAUUAUACAUAGAGAUUUACUGGCGCACCAUUUAAGCGGAAGAUGAACAAACGUAUAGAACUAUAUAUAUCGACACACUAGGCAGACGAAUCAAGCUUCUGUCGUUUCACUGCCAUCUCUCUCUACACAGUCAAUCCUUUUUUUCCUCUGUUUCUUCCAACCUUCAUCAAAUAAACCCAACAACAAAAACAAACAAACCAUUUCAGACAUCAGUUAAUAUCAAAAAGGUUUUAUCAUAAUUAUUUUCUCAAUAAAAACUAACAAUCGUUCUACAUUUUAGGCAGAAAAAGGGCAGUAUAUCGAAACCAAAUUUUGAAACAUACUUUCUACUAUUCCCAACACAACGAUAUUUCUAAAAACAGUUUUGAAGACAACAUGUUUUCAAGUACUCCAUCUUAAACACCCACAAAACACGAGCUGGAUUUUUAAAACAUGCUCAUUUGAAAUAUUUCUCUAAACUAUAUAACAUAAUUCCAUAACACACUAGUUCUAGCUAGUUUAACAAAGAAAAUUAAAUUAAAUGAGCGGAGUCUUUCUCUUACCUUUUACGAUGAUGAUGCCUCUCUCUCUUUGUCUCUGAGCAAGUGAGAGGAAACUGGAAAAUGUUCGGAGUCGGUAACAGAACUUAGAAACAGAAAUUGUAAGAACUAGUGUGUGUAUGUGUAUGAGUUUUGAACUUUGAACGAACAAUGAGAG
rnacentral:lncRNA from 1 species